rnacentral:rRNA from 1 species
AGAGUUUGAUCCUGGCUCAGAACGAACGCUGGCGGCAGGCUUAACACAUGCAAGUCGAACGCCCCGCAAGGGGAGUGGCAGACGGGUGAGUAACACGUGGGAACAUGCCCUAAGGUACGGAACAACUCCGGGAAACUGGAGCUAAUACCGUAUGUGCCCGAGAGGGGAAAGAUUUAUCGCCUUGGGAUUGGCCCGCGUCUGAUUAGCUAGUUGGUAGGGUAAUGGCCUACCAAGGCUACGAUCAGUAGCUGGUCUGAGAGGAUGGCCAGCCACACUGGGACUGAGACACGGCCCAGACUCCUACGGGAGGCAGCAGUGGGGAAUAUUGGACAAUGGGCGAAAGCCUGAUCCAGCCAUGCCGCGUGAGUGAUGAAGGCCUUAGGGUUGUAAAGCUCUUUCGCCAGGGACGAUAAUGACGGUACCUGGAUAAGAAGCCCCGGCUAACUUCGUGCCAGCAGCCGCGGUAAUACGAAGGGGGCUAGCGUUGUUCGGAAUUACUGGGCGUAAAGCGUAUGUAGGCGGAUCGUUAAGUCGGGGGUGAAAUCCCGAGGCUCAACCUCGGAACUGCCUUCGAUACUGGCGAUCUUCGAGUCCGGGAGAGGUGAGUGGAACUCCGAGUGUAGAGGUGAAAUUCGUAGAUAUUCGGAAGAACACCAGUGGCGAAGGCGGCUCACUGGCCCGGUACUGACGCUGAAAUACGAAAGCGUGGGGAGCAAACAGGAUUAGAUACCCUAGUAGUCC